rnacentral:tRNA from 11 species
GCGGUUAUGGCGGAAUUGGCAGACGCGCUGGUUUUAGGUGCCAGUGGUUACCCGUGUGGGUUCAAAUCCCACUAACCGCA